GCUGACCAGGUCACGUCACGGUAUGAAUAAUGAAAGUGCCGGGCUGUAGUCUUUGCAUGCAACUCGAUGACCCGCUCAAGGUGUACAAGGCAGCCACGUGUAAUGGUUCAUAAAAAAAAAAAUCCAUCAAGGAUUUAACAUGAUCUGCAACACCCCCCCCCCCCCCCCACCGCCUCAUACCACCCCUCUUCCUCCGAACCAUUCAGUGUUAGUCGUGAAACAGAAACCCCUGCAAACUCCUCAGAGAAGAACACCAGAAUGGUGCUUGGGCUUAUUGGAGGGACAUCAUACAGGCAUUUGAAAAGCCUUUUCAGCCAGGGCCUGGUGCAUGGAGAGGAACGUGGUGGUAUCUGUCAGGAGGCUGAUGUGUUGAUGUGUUAUGCAUUUUGAGCUGUAUGGGUUAUGGCCCUCUGAUGUGCUGGCUUCAUGUCUUUGUGGCACUGGAGCUGUGAAGGAUGAAAUGAGAUGGAGGAGAGGGUGGGGGGGGGCACAAACACACAGAUACUUACACAUGCGCACACACACACACAGAGAGACACACACACAGUCUUAAAUGUAGCCAGACACUCCCAGAGGCAUGACUGAAUGAAUGGAUAUACACAGGUCAGGCCAAACACAGGAGGCUAGGGCUGGAGUGAGAGGUGAGCACCAAAAGUGGCCACUUCUUGCGACUUCAAACAGGAAGUUCUUUUUCCUCUUUUUCUUCUUUUAACACUUCUCCGGGAA